CGAAUAGCCUGACGGAGCAAGACCGCGUGAGGGAAGAAGGCUCUUGGGUUGUAAACCUCUUUUGUCAGGGAAGAACACAAUGACGGUACCUGACGAAUCAGCCUCGGCUAACUCCGUGCCAGCAGCCGCGGUAAUACGGAGGAGGCAAGCGUUAUCCGGAAUUAUUGGGCGUAAAGCGUCCGCAGGUGGCUUAUCAAGUCUGCCGUCAAAGACCGGGGCUUAACCCUGGAAAGGCGGUGGAAACUGACAAGCUAGAGUGUCGUAGGGGUAGAGGGAAUUCCCGGUGUAGCGGUGAAAUGCGUAGAGCUCGGGAAGAACAUCGGUGGCGAAAGCGCUCUACUGGACGGCAACUGACACUCAGGGACGAAAGCUAGGGGAGCGAAUGGGAUUAGAU
rnacentral:rRNA from 1 species